ensembl:lncRNA
AGGAGAGAUCCCCCGUGAGCUGAACCAAGAACUAUCCCACCGUGCCUGCAGCAUUGAUGGAGAUCAUAGAUCAGUGUCCCAAGGAUACUAAACUAGAGCAUAAGUCAGAGACACUCAAUCAAAACUUCAUAGGAGAUAAAGGCUGCCUCUCCAUCACAGUCAGGACCAAAAGUUACAUUCCUCAAGAACAAAGUGUUUCAUUGUGAAACGCUUUCUAAUGGAAGCCCUUUAUUUUCAGUGAAGUCCUCUUAUUUGUGAGUCUACGGGUGUGACCUGAGCAUAUUUCUCUGCUGGUGGUCUUCAGACAGAAGGAAUAUACGGUUGUUGUAAGAGGUUUUAGAGAGGCAUACAGGAUUACUGAGCAGGUUUGGGCUCAGAGCUCUCUAUAGCCCUUAUGUGUGUUUGGUCUGCAGGUCUCCUUCAAGCCACAGAGCUUUGAAGCUUUUACAGCGCUCCUGCAGUGAGGUUCAAAGCACAGCCCUCUCUCUCCUCUGCCUCCUUCAUUACCCUGCUUCUUCAGUCCUCCUCUCACCCACUCAUUCUAUCAUUAAUAACUGGGUAUGACUCCUGUGAUGCAGGGCCUUUGAAUUAUAAAUAAGCUUUCCUCAAUAGGAAAUUCCAUAUUGUCUUGAGCGCUUGAAACAAAGGUGGAGAUGAAAGGACAAUGAUUCUGUGGGUAAAUCCGAACUGGUUUCGGCUUAGUUUGUAAGCAGAGAUACAAGAAAAUCUGACAUUAACAAGAUUGGAAAAGCUUUAUAAAAUAAAAGAAAAAGAACUUUAAUCUAUUUAGUGGCAUUGUCAUUUUACAUACUUUAUUGCAUAAAUUUAAAUUAAAUUAAAUUAAAUUAAAUUAAAUUAAAUUAAAUUAAAUUAAAUUAAAUUAUCAGUUACCAAAAUAUGCAGAUAUGAAUUGUGUUACUAUUUCUUACAGUAAAUUUCCUGCAGCUGCUUUGUGCUAUGUAGGACACUGCAGAUAAAAACUGGAUUCAUAAAUCCUAAAAAUAAAAUAUCUAUUAUAUUUUUAUGCUACAUUUCUUUGGAAAACCACUGUACCCUUUGCGGGUGAGUCAGAAUGUGGGCCGCUAAAUUAUUUGAAGCGAUGCUUGCAAAACAAAGUGAAAAAGAAACAAAGAGGCUUAAAGAGUGCCACAAAAUGAUGGCCUAGUUCAGCAUCUGACGGUAUGAAUCAUCAUGUGCCCUACUUCUGUGCUGGAUCUGUCUGCGAAUCUGUCCUUUCCCCUCUGGACUUAACAGGGUUUCUGUCCCAGUCAUGACCUCUAAACAAAACAAACUGAAUGGAGUGAAUGGUUGAUUGAUUGAUCAUUUUGUGUAAUAUGGCGAUAAUUAUGUAUUUGUGUAAUAUGGCGAUAAUUAGGUAUUUAUAGGGAGUGCAGCAUAAGAUCACAUUUUCUCCAGCUUGGCUGUGAGAGCAGUUUCAGGUGUCAGACAUGAAAACGUGACCCUUAAGACUCCCUAAACAAUGAGAACAAUGAAAUUAGGUUCAUCAUAGCUGUAAAGACACCUGAUAAUAUACAGGUCAGGCAUUAUUAGUUCAUUUGACAGGUCAC